GGAUCGUGCAGCACCUGCCGCGGGGAUCGGAGCAGCAUCAUAGCUGUUGACACAGCCUGUCAGAGAGUAGUGGGAUCGUGCAGCACCUGUCGCAGGGGGAGGUGGAGCCGCACGGAAUCCGCUACAGGAAGUGGAACAGGAUCUUGGCAGUUAUUGUUAUCUGCCAAGGGACACGGAUCUGUUGAUCAAGGCUCUGCAGCGGUUGGAGUUCGGCCUUUGCAGGAGUCCGGGAGGAGUCCCCCCUUCGGUUGAGGUCGUGGGUGGGGUCCGGCUCCAGCAGCUGAUACUGAGGUCGGAGACUGAGGUCGGAGCUUGGCUCCCGUAGGAGUCCG
rnacentral:lncRNA from 1 species